CCUACGGGAGGCAGCAGUGAGGAAUAUUGGUCAAUGGGCGCGAGCCUGAACCAGCCAAGUAGCGUGAAGGAUGACUGCCCUACGGGUUGUAAACUUCUUUUAUAAAGGAAUAAAGUGAGGCACGUGUGCCUUUUUGUAGGUACUUUAUGAAUAAGGAUCGGCUAACUCCGUGCCAGCAGCCGCGGUAAUACGGGGGAUCCGAGCGUUAUCCGGUGUUUUUGGGUUUAAAGGGAGCGUAGAUGGGUUGUUAAGUCAGUUGUGAAAGUUUGCGGCUCAACCGUAAGAUUGCAAUUGAUACUGGCAGGCUUGAGUAGAGUUGAGGUAGGCGGAAUUCGUGGUGUAGCGGUGAAAUGCUUAGAUAUCACGAAGAACUCCGAUUGCGAAGGCAGCCUACUAGACUGACACUGACAUUGAUGCUCGAAAGUGUGGGUAUCAAACAGGAUUAGAUACCCCAGUAGUC
rnacentral:rRNA from 1 species